AGAGUUUGAUCAUGGCUCAGGAUGAACGCUAGCUACAGGCUUAACACAUGCAAGUCGAGGGGAAACGACAUCGAAAGCUUGCUUUUGAUGGGCGUCGACCGGCGCACGGGUGAGUAACGCGUAUCCAACCUGCCCACCACUUGGGGAUAACCUUGCGAAAGUAAGACUAAUACCCAAUGAUAUCUCUAGAAGACAUCUGAAAGAGAUUAAAGAUUUAUCGGUGAUGGAUGGGGAUGCGUCUGAUUAGCUUGUUGGCGGGGUAACGGCCACCAAGGCGACGAUCAGUAGGGGUUCUGGAGAGGAAGGUCCCCCACAUUGGUACUGAGACACCGGACCAAACUCCUACGGGAGGCA
rnacentral:rRNA from 1 species